AAUGUAGGCAUAAGUAACGAUAAUGCCGGUAAGAAACCGGCACACCGAUAGACUAAGGUUUCCCCGGCAAUGCUAAUCAGCCGGGGGUUAGUCGGGACCUAAGGCGAACCCGAACGGGGUAGUCGAUGGACAACAGGUUAAUAUUCCUGUACUGGCAUAUUCAGUGAUGGGGUGACGGAGUAGUGAAAGUACCGCGUACUGACGGAAUAGUACGUUGAAGGGUGUAGGUAUAGAGACAGUAGGAAAAUCCGCUGACUUUGCUGAACCUGAUAGUACCACAAUGCUACGGCAGCGUGGAUAGUGUGCCUAAUCAGACUUCCAAGAAAAACUUCUAAGGUUAGGAUAAAGGUGCCUGUACCGUAAACCGACACAGGUAGUCAAGGAGAGAAUCCUGAGGUGCUCGAGUGAAUCAUGGCUAAGGAACUAGGCAAAAUUGCCCUGUAACUUCGGGAGAAGGGGCCCCC
rnacentral:rRNA from 18 species